rnacentral:misc_RNA from 1 species
UUUAAAUAGAAAACAUUAGACAAAACCAAACAUGUAUUCAAUCAAAUUUGAUUAUGUCAAAACACACCAAACGCAGCAGGAAAAACUAAUGGAAGGAAACAUGCGCAUUAAAGCCAUAAAGAUUUCAGAAAGCAAAUCCCUCAAGACUCAUUGACAUUCCAAUUGAAACUCAAAGAAAUUGAUCAUAUACAUAAAAAGAAAAG